GACGAACGCUGGCGGCGUGCCUAACACAUGCAAGUCGAACGGAAAGGCCCUGCUUUUGUGGGGUGCUCGAGUGGCGAACAGGGGAGUAACACGUGAGUAACCCGCCCCUGACUUUGGGAUAACUUUAGGAAAAUGGGGCUAAUACCCGAUAUGAGCUCCUGCUGCAUGGUGGGGGUUGGAAAGUUUCGGCGGUUGGGGAUGGACUCGCGGCUUAUCAGCUUGUUGGUGGGGUAGUGGCUUACCAAGGCUUUGACGGGUAGCCGGCCUGAGAGGGUGACCGGCCACAUUGGGACUGAGAUACGGCCCAGACUCCUACGGGAGGCAGCAGUGGGGAAUAUUGCACAAUGGGCGGAAGCCUGAUGCAGCAACGCCGCGUGCGGGAUGACGGCCUUCGGGUUGUAAACCGCUUUCGCCUGUGACGAAGCGUGAGUGACGGUAAUGGGUAAAGAAGCACCGGCUAACUACGUG
rnacentral:rRNA from 1 species